rnacentral:rRNA from 1 species
GAUGAACGCUGGCGGCGUGCCUAAUACAUGCAAGUCGAGCGAACAGAUAAGGAGCUUGCUCCUUUGACGUUAGCGGCGGACGGGUGAGUAACACGUGGGUAACCUACCUAUAAGACUGGAAUAACUCCGGGAAACCGGGGCUAAUGCCGGAUAACAUUUAGAACCGCAUGGUUCUAAAGUGAAAGAUGGUUUUGCUAUCACUUAUAGAUGGACCCGCGCCGUAUUAGCUAGCUGGUAAGGUAACGGCUUACCAAGGCAACGAUACGUAGCCGACCUGAGAGGGUGGUCGGCCACACUGGAACUGAGACACGGUCCAGACUCCUACGGGAGGCAGCAGUAGGGAAUCUUCCGCAAUGGGCGAAAGCCUGACGGAGCAACGCCGCGUGAGUGAUGAAGGUCUUCGGAUCGUAAAACUCUGUUAUUAGGGAAGAACAAAUGUGUAAGUAACUGUGCACGUCUUGACGGUACCUAAUCAGAAAGCCACGGCUAACUACGUG